rnacentral:snRNA from 12 species
GAACAGGUGCACGGGCAUUAUCUGCGCGCGUGAGGCUACAGCCGAUGCCAGAUUUUUGCUAGGUAUGUUCCCCUUCACCUUGUUGAUCCGCUUCUCGAAACAUGCUGACAGGAUCAGUUGAAAACUAUACAACUGACCGCUCCUUGUGGACUUCGGUUCGCUUGGGAAUCUUUGGAAAACACACCU